rnacentral:lncRNA from 1 species
UUUAAUUUACAUUUUUGAGUAUGCAAAAACAGUAACAUGGCUGAGAACUCAAAAACUAUAUAGAAAGGUAUACAUUUCCUUUCCUUCUGCUCUCUUCCCACCUACUCCCUAUAGGUAACCAUGAUCAUUGGUUUCUGAUGUAUCCUUCCCAUGUUUCUCUUUGCAAAAAUAAAUUAUUAAUAUAUUAUCUUCUUUUGUAUAUGAAAGAAGUAUACUAUGUAUAUUCUUGCAUCUUGCUUUUAUUCCAUUUUUUAUUUUAUUUUAUUAUUUUAUUUUAUUUUAUUGCUGUUGUUGAGACAGAGUCUCACUCUAUCACACCACUGCACUCCCACUGGGUGACAGAGUAAGACUGUCUCAAAGAAAAAAAAAAAGAUAUGCUACCUUAGAGUGAAUUGUUUCACUUUUUUAAAAAACUAACUUUGGUCAUUAGGUAUUUUAAGGGUCAUAAACUUUAAAAGCUAAUUCUUCUCUAUAAUUUAUGGCCUUAUAUGCCUUAGUUGGCAAAAUACAAAAUACACCUACAGCACACUAAAUUCUCUGGGGAACAAAUUCUGCACACUCUAGGCACUGAGAAAACAUACAUAGUGUAAUGGAAAUAAGCCUGGAUUAGAGCCAGGAUAGUCUUCUGGGAGAUACUUGCAGUCUGAAGUCACUUUAACUUCUCAACAUGAGGAGUUUUUUAGAUCAUCAGAGAGCACAAAUUUGGGCUCUGAAUACUCAAGAAAGGGCAAUGUAUAGUUAUGCAUUUGGAGAGGGGGGAUUUUUCUCCCUCCAAAGAGCACCAAGACUGAGAAAGACAGUUCCUUUUUUCAUCUUUUAGAGGUGAGGUUUUGGGGUUUUGUUUUUCUAGCCUAGCCUGUUCUUACAUAGUGUGUAGUCCUCUGUUCAAGGGACUCCUGUCAGCCUCCUCUCCUUGGCUGGGCCCCAGCCUUUGUCUUCUAGCCCCAGAGUCCCUUGUACCCUCAAAAUGGAAGUUUAAGGUCAUCAAACAUGAUUGAGGAGCUGUCUCAGGCAGUCAACUUCAACUAUUACUGACUUCUUGCCUUCCUGCUUGUACUUAAUUUUUGGCCUGUGAGGAUUUUGCUUUCUUGCCAGCUCAGAGAUAUAGUAAGUUGAAUCUACCUUUGGUUAGGGUACUUCAGGAAGUAGGUUAGUCACACUUCAGGAAAUGGAAACUUUGGUAAUUAACAAACAGAAUAGUAGUAUUGGUUUGAUGGCCAUUACUGUCUCAGAUCUUUUAUAGUUCUUUAUUAUAUUUUAUGGUUUAUUGUUCUUUAUACAGUACUUUGCCAUUCUUUGAGGUUCAAUUCAAAUCACACUUCCUCCACUGAAGCUUUCCUUGAUUACCUGAGUCAACAUUAAUCUCCUCUGUUUAGAAAUAUUAUACCACUGUUUGUCCUUAUUAACCAACAGAUAACACUUCUAACCAAUCCUUUCUGGUUUUAGUGAUAAACACAUAUUUAAACCCUGCUUAAUGAUCUGUUUCAGAAGUUUUAGUAAACUAAUUUGUUUAAAAUGUGCGUUUAUCGGUCGGGUGCAGUAGCUCAUGCCUGUAAUCUCAGCACUUUGGGAGGCUGAGGCGGGCGAUCACCUGAGGUCAGGAGUUCGAGACCAGCCUGACCAACAUGGAGAAACCCUGUCUCUACUAAAAAUACAAAAUUAGCCAGGCGUGGUGGCACAUGCCUGUAAUCUCAGCUACUCGGGAGGCUGAGGCAAGAGAAUCGCUUGAACUUGGGAGGCAGACGUUGUGGUGAGCCGAGAUCGCGCCAUUGCACUCCAGCCUGGGCAACAAAAGCGAAACUCCAUCUCAAAAAAAAAAAAAGUGCUUUUAUAGUAGCAAUUUAUUCAUGAUCACUAUUCAGCCUUGUCACUUUAAGUUUGUUAAUUAUAACUUUAGUACUUUUCAGUUGUAUGUACAAUCUGUCAUAGACUGAUACUGAUUGCAUAGAAGUUGAACUCAACUUCUGGUAUCAUCUCAUCUCUUUUUUGUGUAUAUACACACCUACUUGUAUAGUCCAUCCACAUUCUCAUUUUCUUCUGGGGAGGGGAAUAACAAAUCCUAGCUUGAGAAAGUUGGUUUAUAAAUUUUUUUCUUUCAUAAAAGUAAUAUAACUAUUUUCUAUUUUUCUUUUUUAUUACUUUUUAUUUUGCUACACCUACUGGAGUGGAAUAUAACUACUUACUAGUACUAAAUAGCAACAAAAGUAAUAUAGCAAAUUUACUGAAAAUUAGAAACCAGAAAACUUAUAAUAUCAUUAUUAGCAUUUUGGUAAUCUUUUUCCACUUCUGAUGUGUUUUCAUGCUUGUUAUGAUACUCUUUUUUCAUUUAACAUUACUCCUAAACAUUUUCUUAGGUAAACUGUGAUUUUGUAUUUGAAUAAAAGUAAAAAAAGUAAUUUGUAAAUUCAAGGAGUACAAGGAAGCAAAUAUUAAGUGUCCCUCUCCCCUCAGUCAUGACCAGGACCUUCUCCCCUUAGAUUUUGUGUGUGUGUGUGUGUGUGUGUGUGUCUGUGUCUGUCUGUAACACAAAUAGCAUAUCUUUACACAGCUAGGAUCUUGCUCUACAUUUUUUUAUACACCUGCUUUUUUUUUCACUUAAUGUGUCCUGCCACUAGUCCUUAAACUAGACCUACCUAUCAGUUAUCAAUAUUCUGUUAUCCCUUAUUCUAUUAAUAACUAGUCUCUUACUGAUGAUGUAGCUGUCAUUUUCAAUUACUGCAUAUUACUCAAUUGAAUGGAUAUAUUUGUAAAGGUAUUAUACUAUGAUCUGCCUCUUAGAAAGUUUCUGAAGUAUUUAGUACCAUUUUUGCUAUAUUAUAAAUUCCAUAUUUGAUUAAAUUACAUUAUGUAAUUCUUGAUAUUUGCAAGUUAUAUGUUUCCCACCUGGUUUCAAAGGAGAAAGAGGUUGUAACUUAAAUUUUGUGUUAAGUAAUUAUACGAGAAACGUAAUAAUAGGCACCAACAAAUACAUAUUUGGCUGCCUUAUUACAGCCAGGUUAGAUUGAGGGUCAACCUUUUUGGUUUGGUUUGGGGUGUGUGUGUGUGUGUGUGUGUGUGUGUGUGUGUGUGUGUUUGGUUAUGUGUAUGCAUGCACAUCUGUGUAUGCUUUCAUCUGAGUUCUCCUUUUUAAAUGUUAAUGUCAUUUAUUUUACCAUUUCAGUUGAGUCGCCACCAUAUCCAGAGUCUUGGGCCAUUUUCUAAACGAAAUGUGAAAGAAGGAUAAGCUAUUUCCAGAAUUUGCAUCUAGGUUGGAAAUAUAAGAAAUGUACAGAAUUGUGAAUUACAGUCAUGUGCUGCAUAAUGAUGUUUUGGUCAACAACAAACUGCAUGUAUGACAGUGGUCCCAUAAGACAACAAUGGAGCAUAUAUAGAAGCCUGAUGCAUAAGCACUUAAUAUUUGUAUUGCAGAUCAAGUAGGGGAAGUGAUUGAUAUCAGUAAUAGUGCUGGUACAUUUAGCUUUCCAUAUUUAAAAAAGGAAAAAAAUAUAUAUACAUAUAUAUCAUCUAGGUUCAUAUAAGUAUACUCUAUGAUGCUCACACAAUGAUGAAGUCGACCAACACCACAUUUCUCAGAACGUAUCCUCAUUGUUAAGAAAUCCAUGACUGUACUCAUAUAAAGCCAAAUUCUGUCAUGAGCCCAAUACUAUAUUGGGUUGAACCAUAUAAGGUUGCUGACAUUCAGCCAUUUUGACCUAUAAAAAAAGGCAAUUUCCUACAUAAUUCAACCUAAUCUGUGUUUUAUUUUAUUUUUUUGGAGACAGGAUCUUGCUCUGUCAUCCAGGCUAGAGUGCAGUGGGGCGAUCAUGGCUCACUGCAACCUCCGCCUACUGGGUUCAAGCAAUUCUCAUGCCUCAGCCUCCCAGGUAGCUGGGACUACAGGUGCACACCACCACAUCUGUCUAAAUUUUUAUAUUUUUAGUAGAGACAGCGUUUUGCCAUGAUGGCCAGGCUGCUCUCAAACUCCUGACCUGAAGUGAUCCACCCACCUUGGCCUCCCAAAGUGCUGGGAUUACAGGAGUAAGCCACAGAGCUUGGCCUCUAAUCUGUAUUUUAAAUUCAAAGAAGCAUUGUAGAGAGAAAUAUGAGCUGGACUAUAAACAUCUUUUUUAAUAGGUGGAGAAGGCAUCGUAAAAGAAGGCCUAGAGUCUAGGAUUAGCAUGGCAUCUAGAGAAGAUUAUGAAGAAGUAGUGGAUAACUUUAGGCCAGGUGUGGCGGCUCAUAUCUGUAACCCUAACACUUUGAGAGGCUGAGGCAGGCGGAUCACCUGAGGCCAGGAGUUUGAGGCCAGCCUGGCCAACAUGGUGAAACCAUGUCUCUAUUAAAAAUAGAAAUAUUAGCUGGGCAUGGUGGUUCCUGCCUGUAAUCCCAGUUACUCGGGAGUCUGAGGCACAAGAAUCACUUGAACCUGGGAGGCAGAGGUUGCAGUGAGCCAAGAUGGCACAGAGUCUGUCUCAAAAAAAAAAAAAAAAAAGUAGUGGAUAACUAAAUUAAGCUGAACAUGAGUUGUAGUAGGAGACAAUAGAAUAGAAAGGGCUGAAUUAUUUUGGGACUGAGUGCCAAGUGGAGGUAUUUUAAACUUUUUAACUUUUAUACUUUAAGCCACUAGUCCUUAAACUUUGGUAUGUAGCAAAACUGCUGGGUUUAAUAAAACAGAUUACUCAGCUCUACUGCCAGAGUUUCUGAUUCAGUAUGUCCAGGUGAGACCCAAUAAUGUUAACACAUUUCUAGAUGAUAGUGAUGCUUAUGCUGCUAUUGGGAGGACUGCCUUGAGAACCAUUGUUUUAGGCCAUGGGAGAUUUACUAGAGAUAUUUGAGCAUAGAAAGCACUCAGUGAAAUUGCUUUAGGAAUAUUAUGUGGGAUUGUGUGGAGCAGAUUGGAAGAGAGAGUGAUGAGAGUCAGCAUGUCUACUUUAUGAACACAUUACAUAAAUUAAUCCAUGAGGCCAUCCCAAGUUAUCCCACACAGUGUUAUCACUGUUUUGACUUCUCUUAGCUCUGUCACCUGACUUAAUCUGUUUUAUUCCCUCUGUGUCCAUGUUGAAUAUGAAGAACCUGUCUGUUUUCAACAACUUAGUCUCCCUUUUUUUGCCCUCUUUGUCUCCUUUCCCAAGUUUUAAAGACCAUGAUGAUGAGGUUUUCAGAGCUGUUGUCUUUGGGCAUUUUAUCUAUGUUUAUUCUUUUGUUUCUAUUUUGGCAGUUUCCUUUCUCCAAAUAAAUGAAGAUUUUUUAAUAUAUUUUUUAUUUCAGAAUGGGAAACUAAAGCCCAAGCAUGUACUCCAGUGGAGGAUAUGUCUAAACUCACAAAGGAAGAAACCCAUACCAUCAAAUUAGAAGACUCAUAUGACUACGAUGAUAGACUAGAGAGGCGAGGAAAAGGUGGCUUCUGGAAAAUUCACACUGAUGAAAGAGGUUUCAGUUUGAAGUCAGUCCUUUCACAAGAAUAUGAUCCUACAGAAGAAUGUCUUAGUAAAUAUGAUAUAUAUAGAAAUAAUUUUGAAAAGCAUUCAAACCUAAUUGUACAGUUUGAUACCCAAUUAGAUAAUAAAACUUCUGUGUAUAAUGA